GGGUCAGUAGGUUGGUCGUGCCACCGGUACGUACUGGUCUCAAUGAUUCCUCCUUCCUGAAGAACCGUAAUGCCAUUAAUUUGGUGUUGCGGGGAAACAGGACCGUUACUUUGAAAAAAUUAGAGUGUUUAAAGCAAGCUAACGCUUGAAUACAUUAGCAUGGAAUAAUGAAAUAGGACGAUCGAUCCUAUUUUGUUGGUUUCUAGGAUUGACGUA
rnacentral:rRNA from 1 species